ACCCAGUCCCUGAUUGUGUUUGCAGCUAGGGGAGUUGCUGGAAAUGAUCUUUGAUCCAUGCAGAAAAAUUGGCAAGCCUCCAGCUGGAAAGUGAGGGUAAUUCUCCUGUCGAAGAAUUUUCCCUUGGAUUCUACCCCAGCUGACAUCCAGGACUUUUACUUGAAAACGUAUGCUGAAAAUACUAGACUCCAGGAGCAGCAGAGAAGCAAUAGCAGAGGAGAAGAGAUGAUCCGGGAGAAGAAAGGGCAGCUUGGCUUUUUAGUUGCAGCUAUUUUUCUAUGUAUGUUAAGCACGGAGAAGCUAUUAAAGAAUGGAUUAUCUUUAUAUAAAGAAAGAUGUUAUACACGAUUGUGUAUUGAUGACAACAAGGAAAUUGAAGCCAGCACAUGGAGUAUUUACAAGCAUGUGUGAAGAAAAAUUUCAUGACUGGCUAUAAUGCUGAUGAAGCAAAAGAACCCAUGAGUAUAACACAAGAUGCUGAUUCUCCAGAUGACUGUGCUAAGCUGCCUGUGGGACUCACCUGGAAUAUCAUUUUCAAGCAUAUUAUCAAACUAAAAAUAUUACAAGAAAGUGAACUGAUUUCAGUUUUUAUUCUAAGAGAGAUAAAAAUAUGUUUGUAUUAUAUAGCUAGUAUUUCCAAAAGUGGAUGUAUGACACAUUUUAUUUGUAU
rnacentral:lncRNA from 1 species